GGGUGCGAUCAUACCAGCACUACUGCACCGGAUCCCAUCAGAACUCCGAAGUUAAACGUGCUUGGGCGAGAGUAGUACUAAGAUGGGUGACCUCUUGGGAAGUCCUUGUGUUCACCCC
rnacentral:rRNA from 1 species